AGUGAACGCUGGCGGCAGGCCUAAUACAUGCAAGUCGAACGGCAGCACGGCAGAGCUUGCUCUGUGGGUGGCGAGUGGCGGACGGGUGAGGAAUACAUGGGAAUCUGCCCAGUCGUGGGGGAUAACGUAGGGAAACUUACGCUAAUACCGCAUGCGCCCUUCGGGGGAAAGCCGGGGACCUUCGGGCCUGGCGCGAUUGGAUGAGCCCAUGUCGGAUUAGCUAGUUGGCGGGGUAAUGGCCCACCAAGGCGACGAUCCGUAGCUGGUCUGAGAGGAUGAUCAGCCACACUGGAACUGAGGCACGGUCCAGACUCCUACGGGAGGCAGCAGUAGGGAAUAUUGGACAAUGGGCGCAAGCCUGAUCCAGCCAUGCCGCGUGAGUGAAGAAGGCCCUCGGGUUGUAAAGCUCUUUUGUCCGGAAGAAAGCGCCGGGUUAAUACCCUGGUGUCCUGACGGUACCGGAAGAAUAAGCACCGGCUAACUUCGUGCCAGCAGCCGAC
rnacentral:rRNA from 1 species